AACGAACGCUGGCGGCGUGCUUAACACAUGCAAGUCCUACGAGAAAGUCCCUUCGGGGAUGAGUAAAGUGGCGAACGGGUGAGUAAUACGUGGGUAACCUGCCUUUACGACUGGGAUAACAUUCCGAACGGGGUGCUAAUACCGGAUAAGACCACGGUACGGGAGUACCGUGGGAAAACGAUGGCCUCUGACUUAAGCUAUCGCGUAAAGAUGGGCGCACGGCCUAUCAGCUUGGUGGCGGGGUAACGGCCCACCAAGGCUUCGACGGCGUGGCCGGCCUGAGAGGGUGAACGGCCACACUGGAACUGAGGCACGGUCCAGACUCCUACGGGAGGCAGCAGUGGGGAAUUUUGCGCAAUGGGCGAAAGCCUGACGCAGCAACGCCGCGUGAGGGACGAAGGCCUUCGGGUUGUAAACCUCUUUUAAUCGGGAAGAACCCCUUCCUUGCAAAUAGUGAGGGAGGCUGACGGUACCGAUAGAAUAAGCCACGGCUAA
rnacentral:rRNA from 1 species